rnacentral:rRNA from 1 species
CUGGCUCUAGGUCGGGGACAACAGUUGGAAACGACUGCUAAUACCGGAUGUGCCGAGAGGUGAAAGAUUAAUUGCCUAGAGAUGAGCUCGCGUCUGAUUAGCUAGUUGGUGUGGUAAGAGCGCACCAAGGCGACGAUCAGUAGCUGGUCUGAGAGGAUGAUCAGCCACACUGGGACUGAGACACGGCCCAGACUCCUACGGGAGGCAGCAGUGGGAUUUUCCGCAAUGGGCGAAAGCCUGACGGAGCAAUACCGCGUGAGGGAGGAAGGCUCUUGGGUUGUAAACCUCUUUUCUCAAGGAAUAAGAACUGAAGGUACUUGAGGAAUAAGCAUCGGCUAACUCCGUGCCAGCAGCCGCGGUAUCGGAGGAUGCAAGCGUUAUCCGGAAUGAUUGGGCGUAAAGGGUCCGCAGGUGGCAAUGUAAGUCUGCUGUCAAAGAAUGAGGCUUAACCUCAUCAAGGCAGUGGAAAC